UGCUCUCUAUUUUUGGUCGUUUACACAUUAUCCACUACGAUGUAUCUUGUUGAAUCAGUGGCAUUGACAUCAACAAAGUCUGGAUAAGGUGAAAGCUGAGCCUUCAAAAGGUUCGACUUUUUUCAAGGAUUGCCUCUCUAGAAUUGAGGGAGCUGAAUACAGCAGCAAAUUUUAUUUUAUUUCAUCAAGAGAUGUUGCCGUUUGUUCAAAACCUUCCCUUGUUUAUCUUGCAAAAAGAAUUUUACUUCUCAAAACUUGUCUCUGGAUUACAUAUGAAAGCAAGAUUGUCUCUCGAAGCGUUUCUCAGCUUCCUUCCACGAAUUGUUGAUUCCUUGGUGGUUUCUUCUGGAAAACAGUGGUCAGAAAGAUCCAGAUGUUAUUGAGCAUACAUACAUUUUUUGAUAUAUAGUUUAUAUUGUAGUUUUCUCCCUUUAAUAUAUGCUGUAAAUGUUGUUAAAUCCAACAGAGCAGAAUUUUUCUUCA